GCGCUAUUAGUUCAGUUUGGUAGAAUGCGGGCCUCCAAAUCCCGAUGUCGUAGGUUCAGAUCAUACAGAGCGUG
rfam:Lupinus angustifolius cultivar Tanjil chromosome LG14, whole genome shotgun sequence.